CCGCGGCCGCCGCACACCACGCCGCUGCUGUCUGAGUCGGAACCUGGGGACAGCCCAGCGCUGCUGCUGCUGCUAGUGCCGAGAUCGCCGCUUGUCUGCCCGCUGGACUCGCUGGGGCAUUGCUGCGCCCUCGUGCAGGAUGCUAUUGGGGAAUGUGCUUGAACACAAUGAAGCAGUGAAUGGAGACUAAGGAAGACACAGUAUUGAAGAAACAAGAAAUCAGGGAAGAAUAUUUGCACAAAACUCCUGGAGAACAAUUGGUCCAAAUUACAGCAGAAGGUCAGAGGGUUCUGGGAAGAGGGUCUCUUGGAGAAAGGGAAGACCUAACGGAUACUGCCAUGUUUGAACAUUUGUAAAGUGGCUUAUAAUCAUGUGAUAAAGAGGCAUUUUCUAAUGCCUCACCACUCCUUUUGAGGAGGAGGACCUGAAGCUUUCACACCCAAGCCCAAGUUCAUGAGAAACACAGAACCUCAGUUCCCUGCACAACAGAACCAGAAUUGCAUUUCACCAGAUCCCAGGGGAUUUAAAGGCACUUUAAAUUUAGAAGCAUUAUUCUACUGCCAUUUGGUUUUACAACUAUGUGCAUGCAUAAUUUUGGUAAAUGUUUUAAAGUAAAGACCAAAUCAAGGGCAGGGGCAGUUUAAGGCAUUCUGGGAGCUUAUUAGAAGGGUAUUCAAGUUAGUGUUAUUGUUUUUAAUGGCAAAAAAUUGUAAACAACCUAAAUGUUCAAAACAAUACAGAACUAGUUAACAUUAUGGUCAUACUUAUGAAUAAAUUCAUGCAACCAUCAAACUAAUUAUAUAAAUUAGUUUAUUUCUAAUUAAACUUUUUGGAUAAAAUCGUACAUAAAUGUGCAGUUGUAAAAGAUAACAGAGAAUCAGCAUACCUUGUGGUUAUUUAUAUGUGUGUAUGUAUAUUUAGUUCUGUUAACUCUAUCCUGUAUCUACCACCACAGUUAAGAAAAGCUUCAUCAUCAUAGCCUACCUGUGGUGCCCUCUUCUAACCACACCCACCUUCUGAUUUUGAGAAUGUUAUAUAAAUAGAAUCAUACACUAUGUGAUCUCUGGGAUGGGCUUCUUUUUUUUCUCACCCUGUCUAACUAUCUUGAGAUUCAUCCAGAUUUGUUGUGUGUAUAAGAUAUUUCAUUAUUUGUUCAUGCUGAGUACUAUUUCAUGGUAUAGAUGUGCCAAUUUGUUUAUCCAUCCAUCCACUGAAGGACAUAUGGGUUGUUUCCAGUGUGGUGCUAUUAUGAAUAAAAAUGGCUACAGAUAUUUACAAUAGAUCUAUGUAUAAACUAAAUCUUAUUUCCCUGAGGUAAAUGCCCCAGAGUGAAGUUGCUGGGUCAUUUGGUUAACACUGGUUUACUAUUAUAAGAAACUGCCAGCUCUUUCCCCAGAGUACCUGUACUGUUUUACAUCCCCACCAGAAAUACACAGAUUCCUUUCUCUGAAUCCUUGCCACUGUUUGGGGUUGUCAUUAGUUAUUUAUUUUAACAAUUCAAUUUUUAAAAAAAAUUUUAAAAACCUCUUGUCAUAUGAUUAUCUGCAGUCUACAUCUCCUCUUUUAUAAAUGUCUUUUGCCUAUCUUCUAAUUGGAUUGUUUUAUUUUUGUUGUUGAGUUUUGAGUGUUCUUUACAUAGUUUAGGUACUAUCCUAUUAUUGAAUAUAUGGUUUGCAAAUAAAUUCUUCUAGCUUUUCUUUCAUUCUCCUACCAGGCUCCUUUUAGAAUAAAAGUUGUUUUUCUUUUAAAGUGGUGAAGUCCUUUGGGGGAAAGAAACUGUUCCAUGUCUUGAUUAUGGUUAUGAUUUCAUGACUAUAUAUUUUUCAGAACUCAUCCAACUGUCCAAUCUAAGAUGGUAAAUUUGGCUAAUACAAAUUACACUUAGAAAAACCUAACAUCUAAAAAUUAAUAAAGAAAUCCAUUCAUUAGUAAAUUAAUCAAAUUACUUAAAUCAGCUGAUACUUUUUUUUCAAAUUAUAAAAAUUGAAAUUAUUUAAAAAAUGUCCAAUAAAAAUUUGGUAUUUGUCAUGAUAAAAAAAAUAAAGUGGUGAAGUUCACUUUAUUCAUUUUCCACUUAUGAAUAUGCUUUGGAGAUGUCAUGUCUAAAAGCUCUUUAUCAUGCUCCAGAUCCCAAAUGUUUUCUCUUCUAAAAGUUUUAGAAUGUCAUAGCAUUUUAUAUUUUGUUCUGUGCUUAGUUGUAACUUUUGAGGUAAUUUUUUAAUGAAGUGGGAGAUUUAGGUCAAGAUUUUUCUUUCUGCUUACAGGUGUCCAAAUGCUCCAAUGUUAUUUGUUGAAAAGACUGUCCUUCCUCCGUUGAAUUGACUGUGCACUUAAAAGCAGUUUUGUACAUUUGGAUGGGUCAAUUUUGAGAGGCAUCUAUUCUUUUCCAUUGAUUUAUGUGUCUGUCCCUUCCCCAAAAACAUUCUGCUUUGACUAACUACUAAAUAGGCCUUAAAUUAAUAUUUGGUAGAGAUUCUGCUCACUUUUUCUUUUAUAAAAUUGUUUUAGCUAUUCCAGGGCCUGUGCCUCUCCACAUAAAUUUUAGAAUACUAAAAUGGAUUUUUAAAGGCUAGAAUAUGUUCACAAUGUGUUCUCUCUCCCCUCUCCACCUUUCUCCAUUAAGAUCUCUAAGUAGAAAUAACCCUUGGAUCCUUACUGUUGAAGUCAGAGAAGGCUAAGUGUGGAGAACAGGAAAGCUAUCUAGCAUUCAUUCAUCAAGUUGAUUGACAUUAUACAUAGCAGAGACCUAUGAGACCACCUAGUCCAACCCUUGAUAGAUAGGAAGCUGAGUCCCAGUGUGGGCUCACUUCAUGGAUAGGGUCAGGAAGUGACAGAGUGGGCAUUAAAGCACUCCCUGCUCUUCUCCAAUUCUGCUGCUGACCUCACCCAGUCAUAGUUAUUUCUAUCCUGUCCCCUUCUUGAUCUUAGACUCCUUUAUAAGCGCUCAUAGCAAGAGGCAAAAAUGCAAGUAUAUGCCUACAGAAGAUCCAGAGCCUGCUUCCCCUGGAAUCAAAGGCUCCCCUGCUCCCAAACCUGAAAUUCUAAGGGGAAGAAAUCUCUAACUGCAAACAGCAUCCUGAGGACUGCAUGGUGCUGAUCUGUCACAUAAAUAUGCACCAAAAUGUCAAGGUCUUGCAGUUUUGAGGUGAAACUGUGGAGGGCUAAAUUCUAUGGCAACCUGUGAGGGAAAAAUCUUGUCAAGAUGGUAUCUAGGCAGGUACGGUGACUGUAAUCCUAGGGACUGAGGCAGGAGGAUUUCAAGUUCUAGGCCAGCCUGGGCAACUUAGCAAGAUCCUGUCUCAAAAUAAAAAGGGCGGGAAUGUAGCUCAGUGGUAAUGUUCCCCAGUAUCAGAAAAAAAGAAUAAUAAUGCAUGUAAAGGGUAAUGGAGGAGCUGCUUGCCUAGCAUAUACAAGGCCUAGCAUAUACUACCCCCUAACGCCCCUAAAAAUCCAAGCCACCAAUGGGGAUGGAUGAGACAAUUUUUCCACUUCACUGAAAUGCUGGGCUGGGCCUUAAUCAGCCCACCUGUAUAUGUACCUCAGCACUGCAGGCUCGGUUCAAAUGUCAGAACCCAGACUUCCAAGUUUAGGGAGCCCCACCCUCAGACCACUUCACACUGUAUCCCAUUAAUCUUUGCAAUUUUUAAAGUACACUCUUAGUUUACUAUAGUCCUUAUCAAUAUCUGAAAUGGUCCCAUUUGCUCACUUAUUUACUGUCCCACUCACCACCCCUGACUUGAGGACAGAGUUCUUUCUGUAUUAUUUAACACUGUAACCACAGGACCAAGAAUAUCACCUGGUGCAUUGGUGAUGAGUAAACAGUGAUCAAAUUAAAGAGUAGCAAGGCACAAAGCCCUGACUGAGUUAAAAGAUAAGCCAUGUAGACUGCAGCAUAUAUUUGUAGUAGAUUUAGCCAACAAUGGAAUUGCAUCCAGAAUAUAUACCAUUGGUAAGAAAAAGAUGACCCCCACAGACAAAUGGACAAGAGACGAGGACAGAUAUGUCCCAUAAGAAAGGAUCUAUAGCAUCAACAGCAGGGGUUUGAUCCCCUGCACCAUAGGUCAAUAAAUGUAUAAAAGGUUUCUAGCCUCUUUAGAGAUAUGGAAAUGCAAAUUGAGACCAUAAGGAGUGGCUGAAAUUAAAAUGACUGACACUAUCAAUUAAGUGUUAAUGAGAAUGUGAAGCAAAGGAAAAUUCCAAUAAAAGAGUGUAAAUUUAUAUAAUCACUUUGGAAAAAUAACUUGACAGUCAGAAUGGCUGUCAUCAAGAAUACAAAAACAAUAAAUGCUGGUGAGGAAGUGGGGGGAAAGGAACCCUUAUACACUGUUGGUAGAAAUGUAAAUUUGUGCAGCCACUAUGGAAAUCAAUAUGGAAGUGCCUCAAAAAGACUAAAAGUAGAACUACCAUAUGAUCCAGCUAUACUAUUCCUUAGUAUAUAGCAGAAGGAGUUAAUAUCAGCAUACUAUCUACCUGCACACCCAUGUUUACUGUGGCACAAUUCACAAUAGCUAAGUUUUGGAAUCAGCCAAGGUGCCCAUCAACAAUGAAUGAUAAGGAAAAUGUUGUUUAUAUACACUAUGUUAUAAAACUACAAGGAAGUUUGAAGAAAUGUCAUCUUUAAGAGUAUGGAUGGGACAGGAGAUCAUAAUGUUAAGUAAAAUAAGUCAAACACAGAAAUACAAGUAUCACGUUUCCCCUAUAUAUAUGAAAUCGAAGAGGGGGAAAGAUGUGAAAGUAGCAGAGAAACUAUUACAGAAAAGGAAUGGGAUGGGGUGGAGGAGGACAAUGAGGGGUAGAUAUGAGUAAAGUAUGUUAUUUGCAUGUAUGAAUAUGGCACAAUAAAACCCAUUAUUCUGUAUAAUUAAAGUGCAAUAAUAAAAAUGAUAAUUUGACAGUAUCUAGUAAAGCUGAAGGUAGGUGUCCCCCAAGGAUCCAAUAGGAAGGCAGGGACAUGUGCCCAGGUGGCCUAGGCUGGAGGCAAUCCCCAAGUCCAUUAACAAAUGACUGAGAAAUUUAGCACUGUGUUAUGCUGAAUCAGAGCAAUCCUAUGUAAUGAUGAAAAUGAAAGGGCUUUAGAUACACAGCACACAGGAUGAGUCUUAACGUCAUUAGAGCAAAAGAAGACAGACAAAAUAGCAUGAGUAAGGCCUGAAGGAAUGCAUGAAGUUUCAUUUAGAUACAGCUCAAAAACAGGCCCCAAACACCCUACACUGUUUCAGGUACAAAAUUAGAAGGUAAAAUUAUAACAAAAGGUGGUAUAUACCAUAAAAUUUUGCUUAUGGGUUAGGGCCACAGAGGAAGAAUUCAGUUUUGAAUAGGAAGCUGGGUGGGUAGUAUGAUGUUUCUUAACCUGGAUGAAAGUUACUCUGUAUUUCUUUAUACCAAUAUGUGUCUACACAUUUACCUUAUUGUUUUCUGUAUGACUUCUUUGUUUCUCAACCUAAAAGCACUUUAAGAAACAAAUUGCAGUGUGUAAAAUCAUGGAAAAUUAAAACCUCUACAGAUGGUACAAUCACUACCCUGUUAAAUAUGUAAAACUUAUUUAUAGAAAAAAAGCUGGCAAGAUAUUAAGAAUGGUUAUUUUAAGAUAUUGAAAUCAAAGCACUGCUGUUCCUUAAGACCACUGUGGAAAAAAGAAACAAAAAACGGGAAUGCUCACCAAAGUCCAAAUCACAGCCUGCUCUCCCAGGAGCAUCCACAAGAUGGAGCAGUCUUAUCUCCAAGUGGAGUUUCCCGUUCCCUUGCUGCCCAAAGUUCAACUGGUGACAGCCAAAUUUUCAGUCUCUCUCCUUCCCUUUCUCUAACUUCUUUUUCCCUGUGCACCUGCUCUUCUCUCUCUCUUUUUUUUUUUUUUGGUUCUGAUGGACAAACACGCCAGGCCUUCAUCUUCUAAGAUUUGAAAGGGGUAGAGGAAUAGGAACCAAAAUUUAUUGAGUGCUUGCUUCAUGUGCUCUCUUUGCUGUGCCCUUCAUUCACCAUUUCACUGCUUGUUGAAAUGGAAGUUGUCCAGGUGUUUGUCUGAGAUGCAGCCAACUCACUCCAGCCUAUACAUGAGCACUGCUGAACACAGGGAUAGCCUCUGGAAUGUGUUUUCCUCAUCAGGUGUGUGUGUGUGCUCAUGUGUUAUGUGCACAUAUAUCCACACAGACAUAUAUGUGUCUUAUCAGCUUGUUAUUAAAGUACUAUAGUCUUGUUUGACUACUUUCUUGUGCUUGAUUUUAUUCUGAAAGAGCUAACACUGUAAUGUCUUUUCAUUUUUAAUUCAAGUUCUCUACAUAUUUCAGAUAAUUAAAACUUUUAAAUGUCAAUAAGCAACUAAAUUGGAGGGGUGUCAGGAAAAUGGACACCUGUAUACUGCUAUUGCUAACUUCCACUAUCAUUUAGGAAAGUAAACUGAAAUCUAUAAAAAACAUAUGUACUCUUUGUGUAAUCUCUUAUAUCCUAUAGAAAUCAAAACAUUUAUACCUAAGGACACAUGCUCAAGGAUGCUCAGAUUUAUGUAUAACUGUCCCAAACUAAAAAUUAACUCAAUAGAAGAAUAAUUAAAUACUGCAUAGUCAUAUUAUGAAAUGUUAUACAAUUUCUAAAUAAAGAGCAAUGUAUAUCAAUUACUGGAAGGCCUGCUGUAUUAUUAAGCAAACAAGAAAGAUGCAGUGUAAUAUGUGUAUGUGACCCCGUGGUAUAAUGUCCUUCCUCAAAACUCCCCUUUAACUCCUAUCUAGUACAUAAUAAAGAUAAGAUGUUAGCAUACAGUGAUGGUCAACUUUAGCCAUCAACUUGAUUGGAUUAAAGAAUACCUAAAGAAUUGGUAAGGCAUUAUUUCUGUAUGUCUAUGAGGGUGUUUCCAGAGAGAUUGGCAUGUGAAUUUGAGUGAAUAAAAUGGGGGAAGAUCCAGCCUCAGUUUGGGCUGCAGGCUGGAGAGAACAAAAACAGAAAAAGGGAGAACUGUUUUCUCUCUACUUCUCUCUCCAUCUCUCUCUUUCUUUCUGUUGGAGCUAGGAUACAUUCUUCUCUUGACUGUGAACAUCAGACCUCCAAGCUCUCUGGUCUUUGAACUCCAGGACUUUCACCAGCUGGUUACCCUGUCCUCACUUACCUCAUCUCAAGUCUUUGGUUGGGACUGAGAGGAUCAUUUGCUUUCCUAGUUCUCAGACUUUCAGACCUGGAUGAGUCACACUACCAACAUCCCAGGGUGCCAACUUGCAGAGAGUCUGUCCUGGGACUUCUCAGCCUCCAUAAUCGCAUGAACCAGUCCCGUUAUAAUAAAUCUUGACAUCUUCCUCUCUAUAACCUAUUGGUUCUAUUUCUAUGUAGAACCCUGACUAAUAACAUAGGUAGUAACAGUGUUUCCUUCGUGGAAUGAGAUUGGAGGGUUUGCUGGGUACCCUUUCCCUUCUACAUCUGUAUUGUUUGACUUCUUUAAAAAACUUCAGUAAUGGCAAUUUUAAAAAAUAAGUAACCCCAAAGGGGAGACCUUUAAGGUCAACUUCUUAAUUCCUUACAAUGAACAACUAGGCUCAGUAAGGUGAAGCAAUAUUCAAUUGGUAGUGACUGCUAUUGAAUGUCUGCUGAAUACGUCCCAUGUCCUUGGAAUCACUGCUGUGAAACCCUCCUGACCCAGCUCCUCCCUUCCCAGCAGCCUACCAGGUCUAAAGGCACUCUGUUCGAGCUAUAGGAGUGCUCUCUGGGCCAGGAAACCCACUGGAGCCUGGAGCACUUUGGGUAGCUAACACCUGCAAAAGGGAAAUCCCUACCCUCCUGUACUGCUGGUGUUUUCCUGCAGAAUGUUAGGAGCCUGGGUGGGCACAGUGGGAAAGAUCUUAGCACAC